UGGCCAGGGGUGGAGUGGGGGCGCGGUGCCGAGACCGGUCCGUUCGGGCGCGGUCUCCAGUCCUCUUUUUGCCCUCAGCAUUGGGGAGAAUCUUCAGCUGCUGGUGGACCGGCCCGAUGGCACCUACUGUUUCCGUCUGCACAACGACCGGGUGUACUAUGUGAGUGAGAAGAUUAUGAAGCUGGCCGCCAAUAUUUCCGGGGACAAGCUGGUGUCGCUGGGGACCUGCUUUGGAAAAUUCACUAAAACCCACAAGUUUCGGUUGCACGUCACAGCUCUGGAUUACCUUGCACCUUAUGCCAAGUAUAAAGUUUGGAUAAAACCUGGUGCAGAGCAGUCCUUCCUCUAUGGGAACCAUGUGUUGAAAUCUGGUCUGGGUCGAAUCACUGAAAAUACUUCUCAGUACCAGGGCGUGGUGGUGUACUCCAUGGCAGA
rnacentral:sRNA from 1 species